CAACAGAAAGAUAGAGGUCAUAUUAAAAGGACACAGGCUGCAGCUUCAAAGAGCUUUCAAUACCAAAGUUAGAACAUCUUGAACCAAAAUAAAUAACAGCAGCAUUGGAUCAUAAACUGUAAAGUAAAAUAAAUUUUCAUCAAUCCCUACAAUUUAAAUAAAUAUUAAAUGGAUAAAUGAGGAUAAGUAAAAGCUUUUCUUUACAGAGAAACUCCAAUGUGCAAGGAAAAAUGAAUAUAGAGAAUUAUCACUGGAACACCUCUAUGGAUGCUAAAUUAGUGGGUGAAAAUUUCAACAGAGGCAGUAUGGUUGUAUAGUCUCAAAAUGCCUCAAAAUAAUUAGAAAGAGAAAAAUUUUAAGUUCAUAAUUGGAGAAAUCUGGAAUAUGCCACAUUGGUCAAACUGUCAUGAUUCAUAGUUUAAGUAAUGACUGGACAUCCCUGUACCCACUCAUAUGAAACACUGAGAAGGGCAUAACACCUCUCUGGGAUCCUUCCUAAAAAUGCAUAAUCUCAGUCUAACCAUGAGAAAGCAAACACCAAGCACAAAUUGAGUCAUUCUACAAAAUCUUCCCAGCUAUCUUCAAAAAGAUCGAAGGUAAUAAAAGACAAGUAAAGACAGUUAUUGAGUGCAUCAGCCAAUAGGACAUGACAAUAAAAUGUAAAGUGAAAUCCCAGAAUGGAUCAUAGAG
rnacentral:lncRNA from 1 species